AAUCAACGCUGGCGGCGUGCCUCAGACAUGCAAGUCGAACGAUUAAAGCUCUCUUCGGAGAGUGUAUAGAGUGGCGCACGGGUGAGUAACACGUAAGUAAUCUACCUUUGAGUGGGGAAUAACCCGGGGAAACCCGAGCUAAUACCGCAUAAUGCAGCGGCACCGCAAGGUGACAGUUGUUAAAGGAGCAAUCCGCUUAAAGAGGAGCUUGCGGCAGAUUAGCUAGNGGUAAGGUAAUGGCUUACCAAGGCUUCGAUCUGUAUCCGGCCUGAGAGGGCGGUCGGACACACUGACACUGAAUAACGGGUCAGACUCCUAUGGGAGGCAGCAGUCGGGAAUUUUGGGCAAUGGGCGAAAGCCUGACCCAGCAACGCCGCGUGAAGGAUGAAGUAUUUCGGUAUGUAAACUUCGAAAGAAUGGGAAGAAUCAAUGACGGUACCAUUUAUAAGGUCCGGCUAACUACGUGCCAGCAGCCGCCGCAGUAAU
rnacentral:rRNA from 1 species